rnacentral:rRNA from 1 species
UACGAAGGGGGCGAGCGUUGUUCGGAUUUACUGGGCGUAAAGGGCGCGCAGGCGGCUCAUUUUGUCAGGCGUGAAAGCCCCGGGCUUAACCUGGGAACUGCGUUUGAUACGGAUGGGCUAGAGUUCGGGAGAGGAGAGUGGAAUUCCCAGUGUAGAGGUGAAAUUCGUAGAUAUUCGGAAGAACACCAGUGGCGAAGGCGGCUCACUGGCCCGGAACUGACGCUGAGAUGCGAAAGCGUGGGGAGCAAACAGG